AGAGUUUGAUCCUGGCUCAGGAUGAACGCUAGCUACAGGCUUAACACAUGCAAGUCGAGGGGCAGCAUGGUCUUAGCUUGCUAAGACUGAUGGCGACCGGCGCACGGGUGAGUAACACGUAUCCAACCUGCCGUCUACUCUUGGACAGCCUUCUGAAAGGAAGAUUAAUACAAGAUGGCAUCAUGAGUCCGCAUGUUCACAUGAUUAAAGGUAUUCCGGUAGACGAUGGGGAUGCGUUCCAUUAGGUAGUUGGCGGGGUAACGGCCCACCUAGUCUUCGAUGGAUAGGGGUUCUGAGAGGAAGGUCCCCCACAUUGGAACUGAGACACGGUCCAAACUCCUACGGGAGGCAGCAGUGAGGAAUAUUGGUCAAUGGGCGAGAGCCUGAACCAGCCAAGUAGCGUGAAGGAUGACUGCCCUAUGGGUUGUAAACUUCUUUUAUAAAGGAAUAAAGUCGGGUAUGCAUACCCGUUUGCAUGUACUUUAUGAAUAAGGAUCGGCUAACUCCGUGCCAGCAGCCGCGGUAAUACGGAGGAUCCGAGCGUUAUCCGGAUUUAUUGGGUUUAAAGGGAGCGUAGAUGGAUGUUUAAGUCAGUUGUGAAAGUUUGCGGCUCAACCGUAAAAUUGCAGUUGAUACUGGAUAUCUUGAGUGCAGUUGAGGCAGGCGGAAUUCGUGGUGCAGCGGUGAAAUGCUUAGAUAUCACGAAGAACUCCGAUUGCGAAGGCAGCCUGCUAAGCUGCAACUGACAUUGAGGCUCGAAAGUGUGGGUAUCAAACAGGAUUAGAUACCCUGGUAGUCCACACGGUAAACGAUGAAUACUCGCUGUUUGCGAUAUACGGCAAGCGGCCAAGCGAAAGCGUUAAGUAUUCCACCUGGGGAGUACGCCGGCAACGGUGAAACUCAAAGGAAUUGACGGGGGCCCGCACAAGCGGAGGAACAUGUGGUUUAAUUCGAUGAUACGCGAGGAACCUUACCCGGGCUUAAAUUGCAGAUGAAUUACGGUGAAAGCCGUAAGCCGCAAGGCAUCUGUGAAGGUGCUGCAUGGUUGUCGUCAGCUCGUGCCGUGAGGUGUCGGCUUAAGUGCCAUAACGAGCGCAACCCUUGUUGUCAGUUACUAACAGGUUCUGCUGUGGACUCUGACAAGACUGCCAUCGUAAGAUGUAAGGAAGGUGGGGAUGACGUCAAAUCAGCACGGCCCUUACGUCCGGGGCUACACACGUGUUACAAUGGGGGGUACAGAGGGCCGCUACCACGCGAGUGGAUGCCAAUCCCCAAAACCUCUCUCAGUUCGGACUGGAGUCUGCAACCCGACUCCACGAAGCUGGAUUCGCUAGUAAUCGCGCAUCAGCCACGGCGCGGUGAAUACGUUCCCGGGCCUUGUACACACCGCCCGUCAAGCCAUGGGAGCCGGGGGUACCUGAAGUGCGUAACCGCGAGGAGCGCCCUAGGGUAAAACUGGUGACUGGGGCUAAGUCGUAACAAGGUA
rnacentral:rRNA from 1 species